UCGCAAGCCUUCCAGCAUGGCUGGGUCUUUGCCAUGACCCUGAUCAUUCCUGUAGCGCUUGCAAGAGCAGCCGUGAGACGGUUUGAGGCCUUUCUCUGUUUCCACUUCGGAGGGAGGUUAUAGAAAUCUCGGACAAGC